rnacentral:rRNA from 1 species
CCUACGGGUGGCAGCAGUCGAGAAUCAUUCACAAUGGGGGAAACCCUGAUGGUGCGACGCCGCGUGGGGGAAUGAAGGUCUUCGGAUUGUAAACCCCUGUCAUGUGGGAGCAAAUUAAAAAGAUAGUACCACAAGAGGAAGAGACGGCUAACGCUGUGCCAGCAGCCGCGGUAAUACAGAGGUCUCAAGCGUUGUUCGGAAUCACUGGGCGUAAAGCGUGCGUAGGCGGUUUCGUAAGUCGUAUGUGAAAGGCGCGGGCACAACCCGCGGACGGCACAUGAUACUGCGAGACUAGAGUAAUGGAGGGGGAACCGGAAUUCUCGGUGUAGCAGUGAAAUGCGUAGAUAUCGAGAGGAACACUCGUGGCGAAGGCGGGUUGCUGGACAUUAACUGACGCUGAGGCACGAAGGCCAGGGGAGCGAAAGGGAUUAGAUACCCCUGUAGUC